GAUGAACGCUGACAGAAUGCUUAACACAUGCAAGUCAACUUGAAUUUGGGUUUUUUAACUUAGAUUUGGGUGGCGGACGGGUGAGUAACGCGUAAAGAACUUGCCUCACAGCUAGGGACAACAUUUGGAAACGAAUGCUAAUACCUGAUAUUAUGAUUAUAAGGCAUCUUAGAAUUAUGAAAGCUAUAUGCGCUGUGAGAGAGCUUUGCGUCCCAUUAGCUAGUUGGAGAGGUAACGGCUCACCAAGGCGAUGAUGGGUAGCCGGCCUGAGAGGGUGAACGGCCGCAAGGGGACUGAGACACGGCCCUUACUCCUACGGGAGGCAGCAGUGGGGAAUAUUGGACAAUGGACCAAGAGUCUGAUCCAGCAAUUCUGUGUGCACGAUGACGUUUUUCGGAAUGUAAAGUGCUUUCAGUUGGGAAGAAAAAAAUGACGGUACCAACAGAAGAAGUGACGGCUAAAUACGUG
rnacentral:rRNA from 1 species